UAACGUUAUGUUAGCUUUAUUUUUGGAUUAGCACUCUGUCGGUUAGGAUGACGAAGGUUCCAGUUGAUCCGAUCAAAGGAACAACCGGCUCCUGAAAUUAACAUGCAAGUGGUUGAGCACUCCACAGACACGUGUACCCUUAACGUAGUUCCCAGGGAGAUUCAGCGUGACA